CCUAUGUCGUAUAGAUACUGCAGGAACAAUAAUAGGACGGACAACAUGUCGUUUUCGCUUACGUUGUAUCUAUCGUGUACAUUUAGGUGAAAAGCGGCUCCCUUCCGCUGAUAGCAAUAGCCGCAGCACUCAGCAUUCACCAGCAGUGGCCAGCAAACCUGGCGACCCCGGGUUGCAGUGCAGUGAAGUGGCGAUUGACCUCGCCCCUUUGUCCUCCCUGCUGUGUGACCAAUUCUCAAUCGCUGCAAUAGAAGACGAGGGUUUGCGGUCUGCCGUGCUGGGGUCGCUCGACACAACUGCCGGAGUACCAUGGUACCUGCAUAUGACGAUACUGCGAUAAUUACCCUGGUCGUCGAUCUACUACCCUACUAACUGUCGCGGCAGCAUCUACAGUGUUGCGAUUCGUGUGUGUGUUUGUGCGUCUGCGUGUAUGUGUGUCAACGUUACCGCUGUCCGUGGGAAACGACCAAUUAACCCGGGUCCAACGUUCUACAAUUCUACCGCUGUUUAAAGCAUCAACCGCUAGUCAGUCGGUCAGUAGCGGCAUCACCUUUUGGUAGAUCCACCAUGAACAGCCACGGCACAAGCAAUAGCAGUCGUGGUUUGGUACCGUUGAAGCAGUACGUUAGUUUGUCAUUGCCGCUGCCUGCACAGCGCGUUGGCUCCGGUGGGCCACUGCCUUCAUUGCAACGGCGGCCGGCUGCGGCAAUAGCAGCAGCAUUCGGGGUCGGCGGCCUGGCGGCGGGUGUAGCCGGCGCCUGAUCCGAGUACUGAGGCUCGUUUUGUCGCUCGGCGCUACGUCGUCCAUCAGCAUUCAGUCAGUAAAUCAGUGUACGGUAGACAGCAUCACUGCCAACGGUAACAUCAGCAUUGGCAGUUGUCUUAACAGCAACAGCUGUUGCAGUUUCUUUCACCAUCAUCGUCAGCGGUGGGAGCAAAAGUAGAAGUAACGACCCUGUGGUCUUCGCGUUUUGCUCUUGUAGUUAUCCUAUAGCGGCUACCGAUGCCGUGGUGACAAUCGAUGCUUGUGACACCAGAUCUGCGUCGCUGAGCUAUUGAAUGGUUUCUUCAGUGAACCGCCAAUGACCAGCACCUAAGCUCACUGCCCGUUAACAAGCGACCAGCCGUGGAUGCGCUAUCGUUGGCGUCAUAUAUGCAUAUACGUACCAUGGCUCACUACAAACGGCAUUCUGUGUUUGCGCGCAUGCCUACGUGUAUGCAAGUUUGCGCCCGAGUGUGGCCACUGUGUGCGUGCGUGCAUGUGUAUGUGUUUGUGGGUGAGCCAAAUUAUGUGUCGUCGUUUGUGACGGCGGUAGGGCUUUCCCGACCACGACCACGGCGAUUAAAAGGUGAACAUCGCCGGCCGACGGUCGGCCGGUGCUCACUACAUAGAGCUACGCCGCUGAUCCUGGCCGGUCAGUCAGUCGGUUAGCCGAUUCUUGAACAUCGCGCCAACGUUGGGAUCAGGAGUGGUUGGCACGUACCAAAUUGAACGGUUACAAUAGCACGACCAACGGCGGAUAGAAACAACAUCACCAACAACGGCAACAACAACAGCAGUAGCAGCGACAUCGACGAUCGUCGCGAUAUAGUCGCUAGUGGCGGAAAUGUUUUAUGCACACAAUAGUGUGGGAUUCACCUGAGCCAUCACUGAGACCGCUCCCGUCAGAGACUAGCUUAAAAACAGGAAGAAAGGUGCAUCCACCGCUUAGAUAGUGGAUGAGGACCCCAUAAGCCGGAAAAACCACGACUUGUCGAGCAUUAGCCCAGUGAGUGAGAGGGGAGAAGGGGAGAGGAAGAGGGAGGGGGCAAACGAAGAAAAAAGGGAAAGGAACUGGGGAGGAGCCAGAAACUCAACCUUCCAUCGUCUCAGAGAGGUUACUAUUACAUUGCACGAAGUGCUGAUAGCGGAAUGAGCGACGCAAAACACGUGAAGCGGAAAAACUAGAAUUUCAGCAAACGAAUAGCGUAAAGUCUUGAAUAAUGGAUCCAGGUAUUGUCCGUCCUGCCUAGAUAACCAGCGAUUUGAUUCUAUGGCACCAAUCGGAUGAUAGGAUCGGCACAGUACCAGCAGGCGGAGGCCCUUCGAGCAAGAAAUAAACGAUAGAUCCUGACGGCAACAUACAAGCUGCGCAACCCUGGCCUUAACUGGCCUUCAACCCUUCAACUCGGCGGUAAAAAAUAGCAGCAGUAGCAGCAGGCAAUCGCCGCCGCACUUGGUUCUGCGGCAGGCCGUUCAGUCCGUUGUGAAUCUGCGAACACGGUUCGUUACUAAAUUCCCCAAGUCGAAUGGCUUUCACCGCCUCAUCAGCGCAGCAGUAGUGGCGUGUAUAUGUGCGCCUGCGUAUAAUACCUUCUACUUCCGCCACUCAGUUAGUGGUCCCGGUCGAAAUGCGCUCCUCUCUAGAGGCCUUGCCGCUGAAACGGCGGCCAAUCGCGUCCCACCACUUUUACCUCUACCGAACAAUAGACGCAAGGAAUUAGUUAGCUAACUAACUGCCUUCGCACGACGUUCGCUGGUUAGAUCGCUGCGAAUUUCACCAACGUUGUCAACAAACGUUCACCAAUAGGCCAACCGCCAUAUCUCCAAGGUCAGCCUUCUGGACGCGUCAUGGAACUUUUGUCUGUUUUCCUCCGUUUGAGUGCUCCUCUAGCUCUGUUAACUAGAUUAUUAUAUUAGUUAACUCUCAAGUAAAUAAUAAACGAAGGAUGUUUUACUCGCUUUGUUGAUAUUGCAGAUAGAUAGAUAUUUGAAAGACAUGCGGCGACCCUGAAAGCAGUUAUGUUGCAUUGCGGUUGUGUAUUUUAAUAGUUAAGAGCGGUCGUUUAUGACGCGCUUUUCCGUGUCAUCUUACAUCGAGGUCAAGGCGAUCUUCAUCAACUCGACGCGAUAAACCAACGUCUGCAGUGAACGGAGUUCGGAAUCUCGACAAACAACACCACGCUGACAAAGAUGAUAGAAACCAAGGCGACUGAAACUAACAACUAACACCGUAUAGGUUGAAUAAACGAUGUGGUUUGUUUGGCGCGCAAA
rnacentral:lncRNA from 1 species